UGGGGAAUUUUGGACAAUGGGCGAAAGCCUGAUCCAGCAAUGCCGCGUGUGUGAAGAAGGCCUUCGGGUUGUAAAGCACUUUUGUCCGGAAAGAAAUCCUUGGCUCUAAUACAGUCGGGGGAUGACGGUACCGGAAGAAUAAGCACCGGCUAACUACGUGCCAGCAGCCGCGGUAAUACGUAGGGUGCAAGCGUUAAUCGGAAUUACUGGGCGUAAAGCGUGCGCAGGCGGUUUGCUAAGACCGAUGUGAAAUCCCCGGGCUCAACCUGGGAACUGCAUUGGUGACUGGCAGGCUAGAGUAUGGCAGAGGGGGGUAGAAUUCCACGUGUAGCAGUGAAAUGCGUAGAGAUGUGGAGGAAUACCGAUGGCGAAGGCAGCCCCCUGGGCCAAUACUGACGCUCAUGCACGAAAGCGUGGGGAGCAAACAGGAUUAGAUACCCUGGUAGUCCACGCCCUAAACGAUGUCAACUAGUUGUUGGGGAUUCAUUCCUUAGUAACGUAGCUAACGCGUGAAGUUGACCGCCUGGGGAGUACGGUCGCAAGAUUAAAACUCAAAUGAAUUGACGGGGUCAUAGCUGUU
rnacentral:rRNA from 1 species